rnacentral:rRNA from 1 species
AUUGAACGCUGGCGGCAUGCUUUACACAUGCAAGUCGAACGGGGUGGGGGGCAACUCCCAUUCAGUGGCGAACGGGUGAGUAAUGCAUCGGAACGUAUCCCGUAGUGGGGGACAACGCCGCGAAAGCGGCGCUAAUACCGCAUAUGCUCUACGGAGGAAAGUGGGGGACCGCAAGGCCUCACGCUAUGGGAGCGGCCGAUGUCCGAUUAGCUAGUUGGUGGGGUAAUAGCCCACCAAGGCGACGAUCGGUAGCUGGUCUGAGAGGAUGAUCAGCCACACUGGGACUGAGACACGGCCCAGACUCCUACGGGAGGCAGCAGUGGGGAAUUUUGGACAAUGGGGGCAACCCUGAUCCAGCCAUGCCGCGUGCGGGAAGAAAGCCUUCGGGUUGUAAACCGCUUUUAGCCGGGAAGAAAAGGCAUCUCCUAAUACGGGGUGUUCUUGACGGUACCGGCGGAAUAAGCACCGGCUAACUACGUGCCAGCAGCCGCCGUAACAC